GGGCCGGUAGUUCAGCGGUAGAAUAUCCGACUUGCACUCGGAAGGUCAAGGGUUCAAUUCCCUUUCGGUCCA
rnacentral:tRNA from 1 species